ACUACCGACCAUUGUAUGCAACCUUAGAGGUAAAAUAUUAUGACUGAAUGAAAGCCGAGAUGUAACUGUUAAUGAAAUAUAAUUAUAAGGAUUUUUUCGCAAUAAACAAUUAAGUAUGUAACUAAAAUAUCGUGUAUUUAGAGAAUAAAAUAAUAAUAAAUAAAUAAAACACUUCCAAUGAGAAUCAUUUAUCUCGCGCUCAAAAAUAACAUAAAAUAUUAGUGUUUGUUCGUAAGCUGUAGAGAUACGUUGUAGGUGUCGAAAUAAAGGUACAUUUUUCAAUUCCUCAAAUGUCAAUGAAAUGUAGCAAUGCAUUAUGACUACUUCAUUAUCAUCACGUCAGCCUAUCGCAGACCACCGUUGGACAUUGGCCUCCAAAAGUUCGCAGCUGAAAAUAAAACUUAACUACUUAUACACUUGUAUAUAUGUAAAAAUAUCACCUGAUCAAUACUGCAUGAAAUAAUUUCAAUACGAUGAUAAAUUCGUUUGUAAAGGUAGUCGAAAUAUGAUCAACUAAAACUACCCUCAUUAGCACAUUUAAUUUUUUAAUCCAUAAAGAAAAAAAAAUCAACAAAUAAUAGUAAUACAAAUAUAGUUAUAAUAAUAUUGAUCA
rnacentral:misc_RNA from 1 species